rnacentral:rRNA from 1 species
AAUAGAUACCCCGGUAGUCCACGCUGUAAACGGUGGGUACUAGGUGUGGGGUCCAUUCCACGGGUUCCGCGCCGUAGCUAACGCUUUAAGUACCCCGCCUGGGGAGUACGGCCGCAAGGCUAAAACUCAAAGGAAUUGACGGGGCCCCGCACAAGCGGCGGAGCAUGCGGAUUAAUUCGAUGCAACGCGUAGAACCUUACCUGGGUUUGACAUGGAUCGGGAGUGCUCAGAGAUGGGUGUGCCUCUUUUGGGGUCGGUUCACAGGUGGUGCAUGGCUGUCGUCAGCUCGUGUCGUGAGAUGUUGGGUUAAGUCCCGCAACGAGCGCAACCCUUGUUCACUGUUGCCAGCACGUUAUGGUGGGGACUCAGUGGAGACCGCCGGGGUCAACUCGGAGGAAGGUGGGGAUGACGUCAAGUCAUCAUGCCCCGUUAUGUCCAGGGCUUCACGCAUGCUACAAUGGCUGGUACAGAGAGUGGCGAGCCUGUGAGGGUGAGCGAAUCUCGGAAGCCGGUCUCAGUUCGGAUUGGGGUCUGCAACUCG